ensembl:lncRNA
AUGGUCUCCGCUCUGUUGGGGUUUCCCACGUGGCUGACAAGGAUUCUGUGGGCACAGAGGUGCAAUCCAGGGACUUCUGAAGGUCUUCUGGCGUGCCAGGAGCACUUCGUCCAGAGCCACACCGGAUGGGUGGCAGGAGAUCAGAGACACCUAGGAUGGCUGCGGCUGCCUCUGAGAGAGAUGGUUGUUGGGAAGUUCGAUGGUUUCAGAAUAUUCAGCAUCAAACUCCUGCUCAGAGUGAGAAGCUACAAAGGAUUGCAACAUACUGCAGACACUUCGAGCAGCUUCUCAGAUGGCUUUGUCAAGGGAAGCCUGCGAGGAUGCUUUGUCAGAGCUUCCCUUCUGCUAGAUUUCAAGGGCUUCCCAACAUUGUGCAGCACGCUCGCUACAACUUUCCUUGCCAGCAGUGCAAUUUCCUGCUCAGAGUUGAAAGAGGAGAUCUCUGAGGGCUCUGCUCUAUCUGAAUUUCCUAGCAAUCUUUGUCCGAUUCUGAAGGAGGCUUUACUUAAGGCACCAGCAGAUGGAUCCAGCGCCUUCACCCCCUCCAGCACUUCUGUCACCUGAGUCUUAACUGCCUCUUGAAGACUCUGGUCUUCCCUGUGCUGUUCAGAUGCAGCUCAUGAUCUCUAGGGAAACGCGGCUUUCUUGCUGAGGCAGCAUCAGCAUGGAUGCUUCCAGGAAGCUUGGAGCCUUCCCUGCCUGACUCAGGUUUGGGCAACUUGUCAGGCAACUUCAUUGCAUGCCCUGUGCUUUUUGAAUCUCCCUGAAGGUCUUGUUGAACUGAAGCCACUUUCAGCCUUCUGUGUCGGCCAGACUGGAGAGUAUUGCCUGGAGGAGGACCAGCUGAUUUGUGAGGCUGCAGAGAGCUGGCUUCCUCUUCCACAACCAAGUUCACAUAAGUGGCUGAACCCAGGCAAGAUUUGUCCAUGUCCAUCAUCAGUCUGUGGGCAAACUUCUGCUGGAGCAUCUCCUGACGUAGCUCCUUCUGGAAGGGAACAGUGAUUUUAGGUUUGCACUCAUCUCCGAAAGCCCUCCCUGCCUGCUGCUGCCUUACACAAGUGAGGACCAGCACUCUGCUUCAGCCACUCAAUGAGGGCAGAAGAGAAGGGAUGCCCUUGGCACACUGUUUGCUUGCAUUCUUUGCAGGUCACCCACACAUCAGCAUCCUGUGCUAGCUCAGCUCUGAGCUGGGUUCUCCUUUCCAUGCCUCAGUGCCCGGCCCACCAGCCCUCACAUCUUCUGCAUUUCCUGCCUGCCUGCAGCUGCUGUGCUUAGAAUCAUUGCAUUGCUCAGGUUGGGAAAGACCUUCAAGAUGAUGAAGUCCAGCCUCAACCUAACUCUACCACCCCUAGACUCAUAACAACCCACUGCUAAAUCAUGUCCAUGAGCACCACUUACUGAGCUUCCCACUUUCCUUGCCCUCCUUCCUGCAGUGUGCACAAAGUGCAACGUGAAUUAGGUUUUUCUUUUGUGAGCUUCACAAGAACUCUGAUCACCACAGUGUCACUCUCCCUGGGCCCUGAGUACACUGCCAGAAAAUUAAAUCUCUCCCAUUAUCUCCUGGAAGACACAGGCUGGCUGCAAUGCUCUGGGCUUUAAGGACUUCUCAAUCCAAAGCUCCUUUGGCAUCAGCACUCACAGAGCUGUCAGCUGAAUUUCCCCUCGCACAGCUGCCUCGUUCCUCUUUGGAUCCCAUUGUACUUAGGUUGGACUGAACCAGCCCUGCUGCCCUCUGCCUCAUGCAGACGAGGUGUACGCUGCUGUACCUCCUGCGCCCGGUGCUUCUGCACAACUUGAUCCUCUCAAGGUCUCCCUGGAGCCAUCUCCUCCAGGCUGCACAGCCCCUUUUCUCUCUCAGCCUGUCAUGAAGGGGUUCAUUCCCUUGGACCAUUUUUGUGGUCCUCCUUUGGAUACACUCCAAUAGGUCCAUGUCUCUUCUGCACUGAGGAAGACAUCAGAGGAUGCAGUGCUCUAGGUGAGAUGUCAGAGCAGAGAGGCAGGAUCCCCUCCUUCUCCCCACUUCUCAUGCUGCAUUGGAUGCUGCCCAGGACCUGCUUGGCUUUCUUGGCUGUGAGGGAAAACACUGCUGUCCCAUUUCCAGCUUGCCAUCCACCGGUACUGCAUCAUCCAUUUUGGCAGGGCUGUGCUAUGUCCUCUUAUCCCCCAGCUUGUAUUGAUAGCAGGGGUUGCCAUGACCCAUUCACUACCUUAAAACUAAAUCAUUUCAAUAAAUAUCUUCCUGCUUCUCUCUAGAAUGAAGUG